rnacentral:rRNA from 1 species
UACGUAGGGGGCAAGCGUUGUCCGGAUUUAUUGGCGUAAAGAGCGUGUAGGCGGCUAUCAAGGUCCGUUGUGAAAACUCGAGCUACAACCUCGAGACGCCGAUGGAAACCGUAUGGCUAGAGUCCGGAAGAGGAGAGCGGAAUUCCUGGUGUAGCGGUGAAAUGCGCAGAUAUCAGGAAGAACACCCGUGGCGAAGGCGGCUCUCUGGGACGGUACUGACGCUGAGACGCGAAAGCCGUGGGGAGCGAACAGG